GCGUAGCCGACCUGAGAGGGUGAUCGGCCACACUGGGACUGAGACACGGCCCAGACUCCUACGGGAGGCAGCAGUAGGGAAUCUUCCGCAAUGGACGAAAGUCUGACGGAGCAACGCCGCGUGAGUGAUGAAGGUUUUCGGAUCGUAAAGCUCUGUUGUUAGGGAAGAACAAGUGCGAGAGUAACUGCUCGCACCUUGACGGUACCUAACCAGAAAGCCACGGCUAACUACGUGCCAGCAGCCGCGGUAAUACGUAGGUGGCAAGCGUUGUCCGGAAUUAUUGGGCGUAAAGGGCUCGCAGGCGGUUUCUUAAGUCUGAUGUGAAAGCCCCCGGCUCAACCGGGGAGGGUCAUUGGAAACUGGGAAACUUGAGUGCAGAAGAGGAGAGUGGAAUUCCACGUGUAGCGGUGAAAUGCGUAGAGAUGUGGAGGAACACCAGUGGCGAAGGCGACUCUCUGGUCUGUAACUGACGCUGAGGAGCGAAAGCGUGGGGAGCGAACAGGAUUAGAUACCCUGGUAGUCCACGCCGUAAACGAUGAGUGCUAAGUGUUAGGGGGUUUCCGCCCCUUAGUGCUGCAGCUAACGCAUUAAGCACUCCGCCUGGGGAGUACGGUCGCAAGACUGAAACUCAAAGGAAUUGACGGGGGCCCGCACAAGCGGUGGAGCAUGUGGUUUAAUUCGAAGCAACGCGAAGAACCUUACCAGGUCUUGACAUCCUCUGACAACCCUAGAGAUAGGGCUUUCCCUUCGGGGACAGAGUGACAGGUGGUGCAUGGUUGUCGUCAGCUCGUGUCGUGAGAUGUUGGGUUAAGUCCCGCAACGAGCGCAACCCUUGAUCUUAGUUGCCAGCAUUUAGUUGGGCACUCUAAGGUGACUGCCGGUGACAAACCGGAGGAAGGUGGGGAUGACGUCAAAUCAUCAUGCCCCUUAUGACCUGGGCUAC
rnacentral:rRNA from 1 species